UACGGAGGGGGCUAGCGUUGUUCGGAAUUACUGGGCGUAAAGCGUGCGCAGGCGGCUUCUCAAGUCAGGGGUGAAAGCCCAGAGCUCAACUCUGGAAUUGCCUUUGAGACUGAGUGGCUUGAGUACGAGAGAGGUGAGUGGAAUUCCCAGUGUAGAGGUGAAAUUCGUAGAUAUUCGGAAGAACACCGGUGGCGAAGGCGGUCUGCUGGGCAGUAGCUGACACUGAGGCGCGACAGCGUGGGGAGCAAACAGG
rnacentral:rRNA from 1 species